UACGGGGGGGGCAAGCGUUGUUCGGAAUUACUGGGCGUAAAGGGCUCGUAGGUGGCCAACUAAGUCAGACGUGAAAUCCCUCGGCUUAACCGGGGAACUGCGUCUGAUACUGGAUGGCUUGAGUGUGGGAGAGGGAUGCGGAAUUCCAGGUGUAGCGGUGAAAUGCGUAGAUAUCUGAAGGAACACCGGUGGCGAAGGCGGCAUCCUGGACCAUUACUGACACUGAAUAGCGAAAGCCAGGGGAGCAAACGGG
rnacentral:rRNA from 1 species